rnacentral:misc_RNA from 1 species
GAUGAAGAACGUAGCGAAAUGCGAUAAGUAAUGUGAAUUGCAGAAUUCAGUGAAUCAUCGAAUCUUUGAACGCACAUUGCGCCCCCUGGUAUUCCGGGGGGCAUGCCUGUUCGAGCGUCAUUUCACCACUCAAGCCUCGCUUGGUAUUGGGCAUCGCGGUCCGCCGCGCGCCUCAAAUCGACCGGCUGGGUCUUCUGUCCCCUAAGCGUUGUGGAAACUAUUCGCUAAAGGGUGUUCAGGAGGCUACGCCGUAAAACAACCCCAUUUCUAAGGUUGACCUCGGAUCAGGUAGGGAUACCCGCUGAACUUAAGCAUAUCAAUAAGCGGAGGA